rnacentral:lncRNA from 1 species
CAAUCUCUUCCCGCAGACCUGCUGCUUACCUGGCUCUUUUCAUGCGCGGAGAUGUCUGUGCGUCAUCGGGCCUGAUUUCCUUCCACGAGGCAGCUCGGACUCAAGCCAAACACGGGACUGAUGUCGAACGGAUGGGGUUAGACUCGAAGGUGUUUUGGACAUUAACAACAUCCCCAGGAGCAACAAAAUAAAUAAAGUGGUAAUGCAUUAUAACUCCAAAUGAAAAAAUAAAUAUCCACGAAUCCACACUGAUAUAAAUGAUUGAAUAAAUUAACAAGUGGGAGAGAAGAGACAAGACUCCUGUACAGAAGAACUCUGAAUACUUUACGGAGAUGCUCCCCCCUCAAGGAGGGGGAGCGUCACUCCUCACUCUGCAGGUGUGGGCCGCACACAGUGACUCCCUUCCGAAGCUUACAGACUGGAAAGGAAGGUGGGAGAGUAUAGACAGUGGAGAAACCUGACGAACACCACCUCAGCCAGGUGACCGAGGUCAACAUCGACCGUCAUAAAUCACGUAGAUAGUGUGAACUCUUGGUGAUGACAAUGGCACUCUCCAUCUGUGGUCGUCCUCCCAAUGAACUAUAACCCCACUCUAAACAUGAGAAAGGUAUCAGCCAAAUUCCAAUAGUGGGUCAUUCUACACAAUAUGCAAGCAGCAAUCCUCGGAACUGUCAAGGUCAUCAAAAACAAGGAAAGUCUGAAAAAGCGUCACAGCGAAGAGGAGCCUAAGGAGACAGGACAACUAGAUGCAGUGUGGUGUCUGGGAUGGGACCCUGCAACAAGAAGGGACAUUAGGAUCGGGCCACAACACAUUGGAAGGAGAAACAGCUGGUCCCUCACUCAGGCGGUCCAGGAAGCACUACUACAGAGCACUGAGGAUUAGUACCCGUAAAGAUCGGGAUGGAGAUAAAUACGAAAAUGGAGCCCAGAAAAGAAAAAGCGAAGCUGAGAAGAUGAAAGAAAUGGGAAGUCUCCAAAACCGCAGUUUGCAUAAAUUUUAUUUAUUUAUUUAUUUAUUGAGGAAGAUUAGCCCUGAGCUAACACCUGCUGCCAACCCUCCUCUUUUUGCUGAGGAAGACUGGCCCUGAGCUAACAUCCAUGCCCAUCUUCCUCUACUUUAUAUGUGGGACGCCUACCACAGCAUGGAUUGCCAAG